CAAACAGUAACUUCUAGGCAUAAUUCUAGAAGAUCCAAUAGUCCUCUAAUAAGCGACGCAGUUAUCUUAAUCUUAAGAUAACAUCAGAAAAAUUUGAGCUCGAUCUAAUAGUUGGAUCUCUCGUUAUUUUAGUUUUAAGAUGUUAACUUAGUUUGACGCAACCAUAUUUUUUCUUGAGUCUAGAUAUGUCCCACCAUUUCAUAAAAAUAUUUUAUAAACAAUUUCAACAAAAGAGUAGGUUCUGAAGGUCCAACAAAGUGACAUGCUAACAAACUAUAAGCCUGAAAAGAUAAAUAAUGAGAGGGUGAGUUCAACAACUUAGUGAGUAGAUAAUGUUUAAUACACACACACGAGGUAAUAUAACAAUGAUGAAUAUAUACACAAUUAUGGCUCUAGGUUCUUAUAGGAAGGUUUCUCAAAUAAGUCAUAACAAGAAUAUCAUAAGAUAAAGCUCGUUAGAAAAUCAAAAUGCACUAAGCAUGAGGUUCCGUACUGUGGGAUGAUCAGUCUACACAGGUUGAUGAUUCCCCCGACCAACUAGGGUUUAGAUACUAUGUGCACAAAGACUAACACUACCCUGUUAGCAUGAAUAUUCUGACUGGCAUACCAUAGGUUCAUAAUCAUGAUCAAACAAACAUAUUUAUAUCUCAAGGUUCAACUCAUGACAUCAAGCUAUCAAUUCAGAAGUCAAUUAAAAAAUAUAUAUUGGUUUAUAUCAAGAAUUCAGAUUCAACAAUUGAUCAUGUUUUAUCGUAAUAAGGAUAAUAUAUAUAUAUAUAUAUAUAUAUAUAUAUAUAUAUAUAUUAUCAAGAAGCAUGAUCCAACUUAUAUUAACAAAUCAAAUAUUUAUAACAUUUCUUAUGCAUAUGAAAAAUUAUCCACUCACCUGACUCGAAAGCAAACAACACUCAAAAGCAGAUACCAAAGAAAAUCCUACUGAUGUCCCGCCGGUUGAACAUCAGAAUUAUCUGAAUACAAAGGAGACAUAUUCAAGAACGACUUGAAAGAGCAUAUAACCUAUUUAAUACACUUAACUAAGGGUGUAUUCCAUAACUCUAUAUGUUUUUGAACUAACUAGUCAAUUUUCUAAAAAACCCAAAAAUUAAACGGUUUUCUUGAAAUGUAAUCCAUAAUAAAACAAAUAAUAGUUCACCAAAUAACCCUUAAUUAUUCAACAAACCAAAUAUGAAAAAGAUAAUAUUAUAGCUAGGGACUAAUCUGGAAUUUCAUCAUACUUUUAGGAUCAAAUUGUAACUUUAUCAAAUUAGAGGACCAAACUAAAAAUAUCAUAGAUUCAUGACUAUAGUGGAAUUAUGUCCAUAAUUCAUCCUCAUUUCUGUCCAGAAUCUCAAAUUAUGCUCCAAGGAUCAUUCUGGAAUUUUAUUAAAUUUUUAGGGUCAAAUUGUAAUUUUGUCAAAUGGGAGGACCAAAUUGAAAGUGUCAUAAAUUCAUUACUAUACUGGAAUUCUGUCCAUAAUUCAUCUUUUAUUCUGUCCAGAAUCUUGAAUUAUGUUCCAAGGACCAAUAUGUAAUUUUCAUAAAUUGAGGGACCAAACUGUAAUUUUCACAAAUUGAGGGACCAAACUGAAAUUUUCAUCAUCUUCAACCUCAAACCCAGAAUUUCCACAGAAAAUCUACUAUUAUUUAAAGAUUUCUAACUUAAAAUUCACCAUUUACACAAAUCAUAACUCAAAAUCAUCAUCUUUACCUACAAUCUUCCAAAAUCAACUAAUUAACUCAUUACCCACAACAAUCAACUUAUAACAUUCAAAUUAAUUUAUCAAUCAACCCAAAACAAAAUCUUCAAAACCCUAAUAUUAAAAAAAAAAAGAAAUUUAAAGCUAAAGAAAACACAUUUAUACACAUCAAAACAUAAAUCUUACCUUUUAAGCUUAUUUCUUUAACUUUAUUCUCCUUCCUUUAUCUCUCUCUCUUUUCUCUUCUUCUUCUUUCCCUCUCACGGUUUU
rnacentral:lncRNA from 1 species